rnacentral:rRNA from 1 species
UACGAAGGGUGCAAGCGUUACUCGGAAUUACUGGGCGUAAAGCGUGCGUAGGUGGUUCGUUAAGUCUGAUGUGAAAGCCCUGGGCUCAACCUGGGAAUGGCAUUGGAUACUGGCGACCUAGAGUGCGGUAGAGGGUGGCGGAAUUCCCGGUGUAGCAGUGAAAUGCGUAGAUAUCGGGAGGAACAUCCGUGGCGAAGGCUGCCACCUGGACCAGCACUGACACUGAGGCACGAAAGCGUGGGGAGCAAACAGG